rnacentral:rRNA from 1 species
AGCGAACGCUGGCGGCAGGCCUAACACAUGCAAGUCGAACGGACCCUUCGGGGUUAGUGGCGGACGGGUGAGUAACACGUGGGAACGUGCCUUUAGGUUCGGAAUAGCUCCUGGAAACGGGUGGUAAUGCCGAAUGUGCCCUUCGGGGGAAAGAUUUAUCGCCUUUAGAGCGGCCCGCGUCUGAUUAGCUAGUUGGUGAGGUAAAGGCUCACCAAGGCGACGAUCAGUAGCUGGUCUGAGAGGAUGACCAGCCACAUUGGGACUGAGACACGGCCCAAACUCCCACGGGAGGCAGCAGUGGGGAAUCUUGCGCAAUGGGCGAAAGCCUGACGCAGCCAUGCCGCGUGAAUGAUGAAGGUCUUGGGAUUGUAAAAUUCUUUCACCGGGGACGAUAAUGACGGUACCCGGAGAAGAAGCCCCGGCUAACUUCGUGCCAGCAGCCGCUGUAACAC